UACAGAGGGUGCGAGCGUUAAUCGGAAUUACUGGGCGUAAAGCGUGCGUAGACGGUUCUGUAAGUCGGAUGUGAAAUCCCCGGGCUCAACCUGGGAAUUGCAGUGGAUACUGGCGAGCUAGAGUGCGGUAGAGGAAGGUGGAAUUCCCGGUGUAGCGGUGAAAUGCGUAGAGAUCGGGAGGAACACCAGUGGCGAAGGCGGCCUUCUGGACCAGCACUGACACUCAAGCACGAAAGCGUGGGUAGCAAACAGG
rnacentral:rRNA from 1 species